UGUUCCUGGCCACUCCACGUCCCCUCGGCUGCCGUCCUGUGUGCUGCCCUGGGAGAGUGCAAGGAAGGGUGGCCCCCUGAGGCUGAUACGAAAUGCCUCAGUGUGAAUGCUCACCUCGGGCUGAGCCAACCCCUCCAGACACGUUCUGCAGCUCGAGGAAGGAACUGCCCUUUGCAGCUGGGAUCUGCCCGAGUUUCAGCAGCAGCCUUGAAUUGUAAUCCCGAGCGGCUGGCGAAUAACACAGCACACAGCACUCGAGAGCCCAGGUGAGUCCUAAGUGGGGCUGGGCUAUGGGAUCUCUGGCUUCUGGGCCUUUCUCAGAACAGACCCUCCAGGCCACUCUCCCCUACAUCCCCGGUUGCUGCACUGGGUGCAGGGGUCCAGAGCCAGGUCAGCUGCUGCCCAGGGAGAGGGCCAAGACUGCAGACCCCGCCAAGCCUGGGGGCAGCCUUCCUGACAACAGCACCAUUUGCUGCUUGGGAUCAGCCAGGCCGGCUCCCCGCAGAUGGGAGGGCUGUGAGGUGAGCACCAGCGAGCCCCUGGAGGUGCCAGAAAAUGCCAGUGUGGGCACCAGGGGGCUUCCUUGGGCUGGCAUGUCAGGGGAAGCCCACUGGGGCGGCUCAGUGCCCAUGAUGGAAGCUCAAGUCCCACGGUGCUGCCCCAGGAGCUAUACCCCAGUGAGGGUCGUUGGCUGGCGAUGUGUCUGGCUGGCAUGGGCUGCCUGGUAACGAGGGGGGCCCAUGUGUGAGGAGCCUUAGGUAAGGAUCCAGCUGGCACACCGAAGACCCCAGGCCAGGGGACACAGGCUGGGGGAGGGGGCUACAGAGACAUGAACCCAAAAGAGAAUGUCUGCUGACAUCCCAACCCUGACAGAUAACCAGCUGGGUGACAGGUGGGGGCUGUGCUCAGAUCACCCUCCUCUGUCCUGUGCACAUGUGUGGGUGCAUGGGAGUCCAUGCGUUGCUCCUGGCUUGCCCCCUCCUCUCCUCGGCCCAGCUUGUGGUGCUGCGCUGUGCAUGGAGCUCGGUUUCUUAGCAAGUUCAUGCCAUGAGCCGCCAGCUAGGCUGAGGAGGAGUGGGUCUGGGUGCCACUGGGGCGGUCUGGGCUUCCCUCAGCUCCAGGGCUCUUGCCCUUGCUAGCAUUGCUGUGAUUCUCACCAUUGCGCCCUGUUACAGAAGAGACAACUGAGGCAUGGGGAGGUGAUGGGACCCCCAGGGCCACCCGCAGGAGGUGGCCAGCCCAGCAGCCCUGCCCAGUCCCCCGCCGGCCUUGUGCUCCCAUCUGGGCCCCUAUCUGUAGUUUCCCCAGUUAACAAAAUCACAACAGUCAUUCCUGGUUGUUCUUGCUGAAUUCUCUCCAUUUGAGGAGCAGCAUUUUGGGGUCUGUGUCCUAAAUGGACCCAAUCACAGGAGUCACCCAGGGCACUGGCUCAGCCCAAGACAACACCUUCCCCCAUGUGGACACACACACAUGGGGGAAAGAAAACCUUGCCAACCCGCCCUCUAGCAAAGGGGCCUGGACUCGCAUUUUUAACAAGAACCAAGAGAUCCCGUGGAGGAGGUAGUCCACAGGGGGAAAAACACCCUUGAGUCUCAAGUCCCCCGUGGCUCCCCAGCUCUGCCAGUGGCUGCAUGGCGGGUGAGAUGAUGGUGGCUCUUGGGUCCCUCUGAGUCUUGCUGCCCAGGCUGGCACCGGCACAUUUUGUCUUGGCUCCAUGCUGUCGGGCCCUGAGCUGGGCACUGGGCUCCCUGAGUCUCGUGGGAGCUGUCUGGGUCCUGAAGCAAGUGGUGGCCCGAGCAGGGGAGGCGGUCCCCACCCUCGGGGACACUGUCUGCUCCGGCUGUGGGCUCCGGGGGCUGAGAGCUAUUUCGGCUGCACUGGCCUCUCCACUCCUGCCAGGCUUCAGUGAGCUAAGAUUGUGCCAAAGUCAACAGAACAGAAAAGAGAGGCUAUGGCGCUCUGUCAGGGAGAAAGCCCAAUUAGGAGGGGCUUGUGGGGGCAGGGCGGGAGUGCAGAGGGAGCCCCGGAACCUAGCCAGCCCACUGUGAUGACAGGGCCUUCGACAGCAGCCCAGCACUUGGACUGUGCAGAACUGCGGAGAUGGUGCUGUGAGCCUGGGGAGGGUGCCUUUCUCCCCAGGGGCCCGCAUGGGGCCAAGUCUACCAGACUUCUGAGCCGGCAUGUCUGGGUACAGGACCUGGCCCUGCAGAACUAGCCUGGGCAUCAGAGCCCACCAGAGGUGACUGCCAGCGGCCAGGACCCACCACGGAGUCUCAGGGAGCAGCACACGGGUGGGGAGCGGGUGGAGGGCACACAACGCUGGUGGGGCAUGGGCCUGGGCACCUCUCCAGCUGGACACUGCACAUGACACCCCAGGCCAGGCCAGGGUCCCCUGACUCACAGACCCCAGGCACAGGGACAUGCUGUUUUCCUUUUAGUCCAAGUGUACGGGGUGAGGAGCUGCAGCCCCCACCCUGAGGGCCUGCUCUGUUUAGAGGGGGUGCCAGGGUCCUGGGUCCCUCCCUCUGUUAGAGCUGUCUGGAAAUCCUGAGUCGGGUAGGUGAGGUAGGAAAGGGAGACCUCCCCACCCACUGCCCUGCCUGAGCGGCUCCCACGGUCUAAACCCUGUCUUGGGGGUGGUUCCCAGGAGGAGGCAGCAGAGCCUGGUGAAAAGAGACCAGACAGUGUGGACCUCCCUGGCCCUGGGAUCAACAGCCUCUCCUGGGCCCAGCUUCCCCAGGCCUGAGCUUGGGGUUGGAGGAUCGGCAGGAGAGUGAGUCCAUGAAGGCACCAUCCCCACCCCUCAGCACCCUUUCCCUCCAUGUCAUCUCGGCCACCCAUCUCAGAGCCCAGCUCAGCACCCGGGCCCUACUGGGCCACCCCGUCAGGCCCUGAGUCCCCAUGGAGGGUUUGGAGGCUGGAGGCCGGUCAGCUGGGGAGGGGAAGGGCAGAGGAGCAGGGGUGAGCCACUUGGCUCAGGGCUGAGGACCUCUCGCACUCUGGCCACUGCAGAGGGUGUCCGGCUGGGGCAGGAGGGCUGUGGGAGAGAGAUCACAUCGUGUGUGGGAGGGGACAGUCCCCUCCUGCCCAGUCCCCUCCUGCCCAGUCCCCUCCCCACAAGGCCUUAGGGAAGGGUGGGGGUGCCACACACCAUGGGCUGGUGCCCCCAUCCUGGCUUUGCCUACCUAAGGCUCUGGGAUUGGCAGGCAUGGAGUUCCCCAGCCCUGAGCGUGGCAGGGGCAGGAUGACAGACCCACGGUCCCCUAAGCCCUCCCUCCUCCACUUACACCCUCGCCCGCCAGACCCCAGUCAUUCUCCUGCCCUCAGGGCCUGGAUUCAGCCCCACCCCCAGCCUCCUUGUAAGCCCGGCCUUAUUAGUGCUGCUUCACCCCGACUUUGCAAGUCAAAUUCCGCAUUACUGCGCUCCUGCUCUGUUUCCACCUUGAUGCAUGGAGAGCUGGAGAGCAGCUGGAGCAGAGAAGGCACUGCAAUGAGGCGGCAACCCGUGCUGGCCAGGGGCCCCAGGGCCCAGAGCCAGGUGGGGUGGACCCCGAGGCCCUGUCUUUCCACAGGUGUCCAGGGUCACUCCCACCCCACCCUUGGCCUCCUGCUGGCUCAGCCCCACACCCCCACCAAAGGGCCAGGCUCCGGGUGAGUGAUCCUCAGGGCCCCCGCACAGGCUGUUCCCUCUGCACACAGGCUAUCCCUGCCUUCCUGUCCAGCCAGUGGGUGGGGAGAAGCGAGUCCCUCCUUUCAGGGAUUCUCAGGAACCGAGUGGCUAUCAGGGUAUGCAGCUGUGAUGCACGUGGCAGGAGAAGACCUCAGACGCCACAGCCUAGCUCUCUGUGGGGCAAGUGUGUCUCAGCCUCUCUCUGAGGAGAGGAGAGCCCCUGGACUGGAGGGUGCCCUGCUCAGCUCUGCCUGGGUAUUCUGUGGCUUGCAGGGUGGAAGGUGAAGGGCUGCAGGCGCUGGCCUUCCCAGGCCCCCCACUGUCUGCCCAGCUUUUCCUUCUUUGGCAGCCCCAGUUCCUUCCUUAUACCCAGUGGGACAGCAGGGCCCAGCCCUAGGGGCCGCAGGAGACAGACAUGCCCCAACUGAGACAGACAAUGGCCAGCAUGGCAGGUGGCCCAGUCUCGGCCACCAGGACGUCCUAGGAGGUACGGCCCCUCAGCUAAGCUGGCUGUCCUUAGUGGCCCAGCUCUGGCUCUGGCUGGUCCUGUGAACUCAAGAUGGCAGACACUGUUCCUGGUCUCAGGCCAGGUCUUGGGUGAAGAACGUUGGGUGUAGGACCCUGUACCUCUCCUCCUGGAACACCCCCAGUGGAUGGCGAGGUCACUGAGGCUCCAUCCAACGGGCAGCCUCCAGGGCAGCCCUCGCUCCUCCCUUGCCCUGGAGGUGGGCACGGGUCAGUGGAAGGAUGGGACUGAGGGGCUGGGCCCUUCACCGACCCUGGAAGGUGGCUCCCUGUGGCCUUCCCUGCAGUUUCCUGGUCCACUGUGGUUCAGCCUAAGACACAGGUGAAGGCCUGGUUAUCACUUGGCUGCUUUUGCCAAAAGAGUGGCUUCCAGUGAAAUCCUUUGGCUGCCGAAAGGCAAAGUCACCCUCCCUCCCUGUGGCCCCAACACCUGCAGGGUUUGUCAGCAGAAGGUUUUCACGGUCCACUGGGCAUUCGCGGGCCUUUGGCAUCCUCGAGGGCCUGCCUUUGAUUAGCACACACCCUUUGCUUGACCCAGAGGGUCCAGAUGGCACUGGCUCCACGGCAUGGCCUUGAGAAUUGAGGCCGGCUUCGGCGAGGAUGGUCCCACCUACUCUGGCCUUCAGGCCUUCACCAGGAGAGAUUCAGGCUGCUGGCCCAGCCAGUCUCUGCAGGGACACCCCGGUGGGCCCAGGGAGGGACUGGGGUCAGCUGGGGCCCUGGACUUACAGUGGAUCCCACUUCCCCCACGUCUUGCUUGGUUCUGGGCAUAAGGGUCCUAGUUCUUAGGGCCUGGCCUGGCCCUCUCACUGCUCCCGGGAAACCUCGGGAAACAUGGCAGGCUGUGUUCCCCAUCCUCAGGCUCCCAAGUCGCUUCUGUCCAGUCCUCUGCUGGUAUCUGUGACUCAGCACCAUGACGGGGCCCUGUCCAGGGCGUCCUGGGCAGAAGGCUGCUCCGAGUGCACAGCGGGCACCCCCAUGGACAGGCUGCGUCCAUGUGCCACUCCUUGGCCGCCCUCUCUUCAUCUGUAGUGAUGACACAGUGACCCCCACCUGCAGGCCUGGUGGCACUGCUGUCACCAGGCACAGGGAGCCUGCCCCCAACCUGGGUGGUGUUGUGGGAGUGGCUGGGCAAGGAACGCUGCUAUCCCUGCUGAGCUGGGUGGGCACUGAUGGGCAUGGGGACCUGGAGUGCUGACCCCUAGCCCUACUGUCGGCAGGCCACGCCUGCCCCUCUGGGGAACUGCUGUGUCCCCCUUGGCUGGCCUAGAAGUGCCUAGAAAUGUCUUUUAUGUGGGGAGUCGGUGGGUGAGGGCCCCACUGUCCCAUCCCUUGAGGAAGGGAGGGCUCUGGGCAGGGUCUGCACCAAUUCCCCAGUGCCUGCUGAGGCCUGUGGCUGCCUCAGGGACAGUGUCAGUCACCCCUUCACCCUGGCAUAGGUGUCCUAUUUCCAGAGUGUAGUGCUGGAUGCUUCUGUUUGGCUGUGUUAAUUGAGACCAGCUUUUACAGAAUGAGCCUCUUGGGGUGGGAAAAUCUGCACAGCCUUGGUGUUUAGGGUAACCUGAAAGUGGAGAGUGAGCCUGGGGUGCAGUCUCACUCCCCCAUGCCCCUGGGCACAGCUACCCACAGGCCCACAGCAGGCAGGCAGGACUGAUGCCAUCCUCCAGAUCCCCCGACCAGGCCCAGAGGUGGGGCCAGGAGAGAUCUGGGGAGUUGGUGCCACCAGAUUUCCCAACCAUGACAGGAUGUCGGGGGGUGGGGGGCAACAGCAGGACUGCCCCAGGCUGGGUCCCCACCCAAGUGAGGCUUGGUCGUGGCCUCAUGGCCAGUUUGUCCCUCUGCGGAUCUGGAGGGGUCCUCGGCUGCAGCAGGGGGCCCAGAUGAUCCUGACCUGGGGAUGGGAAGGCCUCUGUCCGUGGUUCCCCAGCAGAGCGGGGCCUGUUGAGAGGAGCAGGGGAUGGUCUGUUGAAGGAGUCGGUGAACGGAGAGGCAUGCAGGGAUGGAUAUGGACAGGGCGGGUGCUCAGACCCUACAGUCUGAGGUGGAGGGGUGGGGUUGGAGGCUGGAAUGGCCGCGGGGGAGCCUAGAGGGGUAGGGCUGUGGCUCCACCACUGUUGGCUAAGGGACCUCAGGGAGGGCUUCAGAGGCUGGGGCCCUGGCUCCCAAGGCCUCAAGACCCUCCUGCUCCCCCUGAAGGUAGCAGUGACCGCCUCUCAGAAACCCCUGGCAUCCCUGGAGGCUGCAGUCCCCCGCCCCGCCUCCACUCUUUCUCUCUGCUCUGUCAUUUUUCAAAAAUAAUUGUGCAGCAGCACCAGGCUGUCUCUGUGCCCCUCCUGUAGGUUGCCCUACCCCACCAGGUCCCUGGCUCGGCGUCCCCAGACUCUGCCAGGCUGGCCUCACCGUGUGUAUCGAGGUGUUCUCCCUGCAAGGUCUUCAUCAUUCCCCAAUUGCUCGCAUUUAUUUUUCUCCUUCCUUGGUGAGUGGCCCUGCCAGCCUCAGCCUUGUCUCUCCUUGGUGAGCGUCAUUAAUGCAGCUUCCGCGCCACGAUCAGAGGGGGCUGCCCCCACCCUGCCGGCCCUGCCGCUUCUCCUCUGCCCGCCUCGGGAUGGAUGUUCAUUUAUUGCCCAUAAAUCUCUGCACAGCCCUUUGUAAAGACAAAUUGGAGGCCUCCUGUUCCCCGGUGUUGGUUGGGCCGAUCGGUGGUGGGUUUAAUUGGCCCUUCCCGUGGAGGCUGCCCCUGCAGGAGAGGCUCGUUGUGGGCUGGGCCAGAUGCACUGCGUCUGCAGAAGGGGCCAUUCUCUGCCCCUCAUUUUGUCUAGCGUCUGAGGCUGGGCCAUGUGCAGGGACAAAGUGUGGAUCCUCCCUCGGGCUUCCAAAACAUGGCCUCCCCGCAUUCACGUGGCCUGGCAGCAGCCCAGGCCCAGGCAGGGCCCUCUCUCACCCAGGGGGUGAUGCCUGCAGCUUCAACAGCAACCUCCAGGAAGGAGGCGCAUGGGUUCGUUGAGGUGAUACAGGAGUGGAAGAGCUUGGUCCCUUGAAAUGAAUGAUAGGGAAAAGGGGAAGUGCUGCGUAGAGGAGGGUGUGAUCCCUGGCUGGGGCUCCAUCCCACAGACCUAGGUGAGGACAGGCAUUUUUGCAUUUCCCAAGACCACCCUGGCCUGCCACACCCCCAUCCUAUGACUAUAAAAACUCGCGAGACCCUGGCAGGCACGCACAAGCUGCUGGACGUGGAGAGGAGCGGAUUGGCAGAGGAGCACUCAGGCGGCUGGACGUCGAGAGGAACGCACUGACGGGCGCCGGCACCCCGGCAGGCUACCAACCGGCAGCAGAAUGACCUGGAGUUUGGCUGGGGCAGCCAGAGGAGAGCCCGGGCCCGACUCCAGGGGAAAACCGUCCCACUCCAUCUUCUUCUGCCUUCCCCCAUCUGCUACCUCCACUCAAUAAAACCUUGCACUCAUUCUCCGA